rnacentral:piRNA from 1 species
UGAUAGCCUACACAGAUGUGACCCUUCAGGGA